rnacentral:rRNA from 1 species
GAACCAUGGACAUAGAUAUAGCGAUUCGUACAAGGUAGCCGUAUAAAAAAUGGAGCUGAAAAAAAAAGUAAAGGGAAGGGGGAGCACAUAUGUGCCUGCCAUAAAGGGGGAUAAAAAAAAGGGGGACGGGUGCUAAUACCGCAUAGUUUUCUUGAUCGCAUGAUUGAGGAAGGAAUGACGGCCUUUGUGCUGUCUUCUUAUGGAUGGACCCGCGGCGUAUUAGUUAGUUGGUGAGGUAAUGGCUCACCAAGACGAUGAGAGAAGCCCAACCUGAGAGGGGGAUCGGCCACAUUGGGACUAAAACACGGGCGUGGCUCCUAUCGGGAGGCAUGCUAGGGAAUCAUCGGCAUGGACUUUUUUCUGACGGAUCAAUUCCUCUUUUAGUGUGCAUAGU